rnacentral:lncRNA from 1 species
CACCGACUGAGACUCUCCUUUUUGCAUUUGAACUGAUCCACCUUAGCUAGGUGCAGCUUUCGUGGAUGGACUAUACAGAAUCUUCUUCCAAAGUGAUAAGUUCUGAUUGCAGAAAUAUGACAAUAAUUGAUUUCAGCUCAUAUAAAAUUUCAAAAAGGAGAUAUAGCGAAUUGUUGACGUUGGACAAUUUCUGGGUAGUUGCUGUGCCAUUGGGCUUAUGGGGUUGGAGAGUUGCUUUUCUCUUUGUGAGGGAAAAUGAGGUUGUUUUGUACCAGUGCACGAAAUUUAAAUAAAAUAUUGUUUUAGUAUUGAUGUAAAGUGUUCCGG